ensembl:lncRNA
AGGGAACAGGGGUCCAUUCAGAACAAAUACCAGUAUGUGUGGAGCAAUAUGCUAGCCUAGUACAUAGGAGACAGUUGUUACAGAGACAGGUGCCUGUCCGAAUAUGGUAGCUAGGAGACAGUUGUUACAGAGAAUUGCCCUGUCCCAAUAUGGUAGUUAGGGGACAGUUGUAAAAGAGAAUGUCCCUGUCCCAAUAUGGUAGUUAGGAGACAGUUGUUACAGAGACAGGUGCCUGUCCCAAUAUGGUAGUUAGGAGACAGUUGUUACAGAGACAGGUGCCUGUCCCAAUAUGGUAGUUAGG